GACGAACGCUGGCGGCGUGCUUAACACAUGCAAGUCGAACGGAAAGGCCCUGCUUUUGUGGGGUGCUCGAGUGGCGAACGGGUGAGUAACACGUGAGUAACCUGCCCUUGACUUUGGGAUAACUUCAGGAAACUGGGGCUAAUACCGGAUAGGAGCUCCUGCUGCAUGGUGGGGGUUGGAAAGUUUCGGCGGUUGGGGAUGGACUCGCGGCUUAUCAGCUUGUUGGUGGGGUAGUGGCUUACCAAGGCUUUGACGGGUAGCCGGCCUGAGAGGGUGACCGGCCACAUUGGGACUGAGAUACGGCCCAGACUCCUACGGGAGGCAGCAGUGGGGAAUAUUGCACAAUGGGCGGAAGCCGGAUGCAGCAGCGCCGCGUGCGGGAUGACGGCCUUCGGGUUGUAAACCGCUUUCGCCUGUGACGAAGCGUGAGUGACGGUAAUGGGUAAAGAAGCACCGGCUAACUACGUG
rnacentral:rRNA from 1 species